rnacentral:rRNA from 1 species
AACGAACGCUGGCGGCAUGCCUAACACAUGCCAGUCGAACGAUGCCUUCGGGCUUAGGGGCGCACGGGGGCGUAACGCGUGGGAAUCUGCCCUUGGCUUCGGUAUAACUGUUAGAAAUGUAUGCUAAUACCGGAUGAUGUCCCCCUGAGAGAUCUUGGGGACUACAGAUUUAUCGGCGAGGAAUGAGCCCGCGUAGGAUUAGGUAGUCGGAGGGGUAAAGGACUACCAAGCCGGCGACCCUGAGCUGGUCUGAGAGGUUGAUCAGCCACACUGGGACUGAGACAAGGCCCAGACGCCUACGGGAAGCAGCAGUGGGGAAUAUUGGACAGGGGGGGGAACCCUGAUACAGCAAGGCCGGGUGAGUGAUGAAGGCCUUAGGGUUGUAAAGCUCUUUUACCAGGGAGGAUAAGGACAGUACCUGGAGAAUAGGCCCCGGCUAACUCCGG